UAACAGUACAGUAUAAUCAUAUUCGGUAUACCAAAAAAAUUAAAGUACAGAAUAAGACAACAUACCAGUAAUGAACUAAAAUAUAUCACAGUAACUUAAAACAUAUUUACCUACACAAAACAAAAACAUACCUAAAUCCAGAGUUGAAACGAGCUUUACGAGAGCUUGAGCUUUAGCUCAAAAGCUCACUCAUUUUGUGAGCUUUGAGCUUGAGCUUCGCUCUUUUUGAAAAAGUGUGAGCUUGAGCUUGAGCUUUUGCCUCAUGAGCGGAAGCUCACGCUUGUGGCGCCAUCUAGCGGCCAAAAUUGAAAGUGGUUGCCGAAAUGAGACAAAUCUCCGCGUUUGGAGGUGGAAAGCUGUCUGUGCUACUUGCUAAUAGCCUAGCCUAUACUAGUUGCUUAUGCUUACAGUUACAGCUUAGUGAUUGAACUGAACAAAUAAAAACAUAAACUUGAAAUCUGAAACUCAAAGUCUUAAACUCUUUAGAGAGUAGCGACUAAUGAGAAAUGGCGUCAAAAAAGCGAACAGCUUCUACAAGUUUACAAAGUCAAAGUCAUGUGGGUGCUGUAGGUGGUGAUCAAGUUGAUUGUGAAACUGUAAAUGUAGAGAAUAAUGAUUCUGGCAGCGAUGGGCAUGAUUCUAACAGAUUUGUCAUUCUCAUUCAAUGUUAGACCAUUGAGCAUUGACCGCUUUCUCAUGAAAGCAAAUCUGAAAAAAAUACACUGUUUUGAUUGUCA